rnacentral:rRNA from 1 species
ACUCAAAUGAAUUGACGGGGGCCCGCACAAGCGGUGGAGCAUGUUGUUUAAUACGUCACUAACCGUAGAACCUUACCAGGGUUUGACAUGGCGAGCCAUCCUAUGAAAGUAGGCUUCCCCGCAAGGGGACUCGCACACAGGUGUUGCAUGGCUGUCGUCAGCUCGUGUCGUGAGAUGUUGGGUUAAGUCCCGCAACGAGCGCAACCCUCAUCCCAUGUUGCCAGCGGGUAAUGCCGGGAACUCUUGGGAAACUGCCGGGGUAACUCGGAGGAAGGUGAGGACGACGUCAAGUCAGCAUGGCCCUUACAUCCUGGGCUACAAACAUGCUACAAUGGACGGUAGACAGAGGGAUCCGAGGGGGCGACCCGGAGGCAAUCUCAGAAAUCCGUUCUCAGUUCGGAUUGCAGGCUGCAACUCGCCUGCAUGAAGCCGGAAUCGCUAGUAAACGCAGAUCAGCGAAGCUGCGUUGAAUACGUUCCCGGGCCUUGUACACACCGCCCGU